UACGUAGGGUGCAAGCGUUAAUCGGAAUUAUUGGGCGUAAAGAGCUCGUAGGCGGUUUGUCGCGUCUGCUGUGAAAUCCCGAGGCUCAACCUCGGGUCUGCAGUGGGUACGGGCAGACUGGAGUGCGGUAGGGGAGAAUGGAAUUCCUGGUGUAGCGGUGGAAUGCGCAGAUAUCAGGAGGAACACCGAUGGCGAAGGCAGUUCUCUGGGCCGUAACUGACGCUGAGGAGCGAAAGCGUGGGGAGCGAACAGG
rnacentral:rRNA from 1 species